rnacentral:rRNA from 1 species
UUGUAGACCGGUAUGAACGGCUUAAUUUAUCAAGUGAGUUUGUUUAACUGAAUGUGAAAUUAAAGAUUAAGUAAUAAUUCUUUAAUAUAUUAUGGGACGAUAAGACCCUAAAAGCUUUAUAAGUAGGUUUAAGGAUGGUGGUAUUUUAAAAUUUAGUUAACUGGGGUAGUUUAUUUUUAUAAAUUAUAUAUUUACUAGAAGAUCCUUAAAAUUAAGAUUUCGUGGGUUAGUUACUUUAGGGAUAACAGUGCCAUAUAUUUAGGGAGACCAGAUCUAUAAAUAUGUUUGCUACCUCGAUGUUGAAUUAGAUUAUCUAAAUGGACAAAAAAUAUAUGAGAAAGUUUGUUCAACUUUUAAAUUUCUACAUGAUCUGAGUUCAAACCGG